CCCCUCCCUGCUUCUCUCCCAAGGCACCUGGCUGAAGUGCAGCUGCUGCAGAGCAGCCAGAAGAAGGAGAUCGAGGAGCUGUACCUGCGGAUGGGGAAGCAGCCCCCGCUGGGCAUCGUCUCCCCCGCCGCCAUGCUCUCCAGCCGCCAGCGCCGCCUCUCCAAGGGCAGCUUCAACCCCUCCCGCCGCAACAGCCUGCAGCGCCUCGAGCUGGGGCAGCCCCAAGGGAUCAUGCGGCGAAACUCGCUGAGCGGCAGCAGCACCGGCUCCCAGGAGCAGCGCGUGAGCAAGGGGGUGACCUUUGCGGAUGAUUUUGGCCGCAUGUAGGCAGCCGGCUGGGAGUGACUUCGUGAACUACCUCAACCAAGUGCCUGCUGCCCCGCAGGGGGGGGAGCCCCCCACGCCUCCUGGGGAGCAGCCAGCGGGGUCUCUGCCUUGGGGGGGCCCAGCCCCAAUCCUUCCUCGCCCUGCCAGGGCCGGGCUGGCAGCACUCUGCUCAUCCCUAUGUGUCCCCGUCCGCUCCUGUCCCCUCCCAGCUGUGGGAGGGAGCAGGGCACUGGGACCCCCCGCAGCCCCCCGCGCCCCGCCGCGCCUCGUCCUGGCUCCCCGAGCAGAACCCAGCCUGCUCCGUGCCCCCGUUACACCGCCUCCUCUGCCUUACUCCACCUCGCCGUCCUCCAGCCUCGCCCCCGCGGCACAAAGCGGCGCCUUCCCCUCCCCGAGCCCAAAGCAGCGCGGGGGCCGUGCCCGAAAAACAAUGGAAGCGGGGGCUGCGGGGGGCGGGCUGCGGGUGAAUUUUGUUACAAACCCACAUCUGGGAAGCGUUUCAUAA
rnacentral:lncRNA from 1 species